rnacentral:rRNA from 1 species
ACGGAGGAUGCGAGCGUUAUCCGGAUUUAUUGGGUUUAAAGGGAGCGCAGACGGGAGAUUAAGUCAGUUGUGAAAGUUUGCGGCUCAACCGUAAAAUUGCAGUUGAUACUGGUUUCCUUGAGUGCAGUUGAGGCAGGCGGAAUUCGUGGUGUAGCGGUGAAAUGCUUAGAUAUCACGAAGAACCCCGAUUGCGAAGGCAGCUUGCUAAACUGUAGCUGACGUUCAUGCUCGAAAGUGUGGGUAUCAAACAG